UGUGUACAUUUGUACACACUGUGUUAAUAGCAACGAGAUAAGAGAAUAGUAAAAUUAGUAAGGUGAAACUCAACAUUGGAUUUCUUAUUGUGUAAUUGUCGUGAGUUAAUAAUUGCAUAUAAUCCACGCAAGCGGUUUACAGUUGAAGAUGUGUUGCAACAUCUUGAUGACUCGAAACUUAAAUUAUCAGAUUCUGAUGACUCUUGGGAUAAGACUUUUAACCCUUCUGCUGCUGAUAUGCUGGCUGAUGAAAAUGAGGAUGAAAUUGAAAGACCAUAUGAAGAUGAACAGGCAGGCACUUCUGUGAACAUUGUGAACAAAAGAGAAAAAAAGACACAUAUCAAGUGGCGGUCUCUUCGAGGUGCAUUUGAAAGCAGCUCAGAAUGGCAGAAAAAAUUGAAUUUAGUAGAUGGCCUACUUUCACUAUCCUCGUAUUUUUUUAAUUACUUCAACUUAGAAAUAUUUGAAACAUUUGCUAAACAAACAAACAUUUAUCAUCUACGCAAAACUGGUAAAACUCUACAUACUACAACAGCUAAAAGUCAGAAAUUUUUUGGUAUCACAAUAGUAAUGGCAAAUUUAGGUUUUCCCAGAUAAAGGAUGUACUGGCAAAAAGCCACUAGAGUAAAUUCAAUGGCAGAUGUUAUGCCUAUAAACCACUAUUUACAGGUGGAUGGAUAAUAGAGCUGUCACUCUUGCCUCCAGCUUUGUUGGAAUCGAAGAAAUGGGCACAGUAAGAAGGUGGGGUGAAAGUAAAAAAAGAAUAUAUUCAAGUGAACAGACCCAAUUGUGUGAAAGUCUACAAUGAAAACAUGGGGGAGUGGACAAAAUGGACUUCUUCAUUGCUUUGUACAGGAUAAAGGCAAAAACUAAGAAGUGGCCUGUACGCAUGGUUUUUCAUUUUGUGGACUUGGCCCUGGUCUAUUAAUGGCUUGAGUAUUAAGGUAAUGAAAUACAAAAUGGUAUUCCUAAAAGACAAACUUUGGAUCUUCUCAAUUUCAGAAAUGAGAUUGCUGCCACACUAGUGAAAGCCCACUUGACAACACCAAUUGCUUGCCGACUAGUUGGAAGGCCAAGUAUUGCCGCAACUGAACCUAUCACAAAUUCAGGUGAUUUGUCAACAUCAACAUCUUCUGUAGUUACACCUCUUCCAAAGCAAGCAAGACUGGCAGUAAGACCAGCUGUGGAGAUCCGCUAUGACCGGUUCGACCAUUUCCCUGUCUGCAUCAAGGAACUGGGUCAAUGCUGCAAGUUUGAAGGAUGAAAUGGUCGCAGCAGAGUCAAAUGCAUCAAGUGCAAUCUGUUUCUUUGUUGCACUGGAGAUAAAAACUGUUUUCAAUUAUUUCACAUGAAAUAAUUCCUUGGUAAAAGACUGACAAACAGUUUGUACUUUUUUCGUAUUGAUUUGGUAAUGUUGUGAGCUCGCAACAUUGUUUUCAGACAAUAAAUAAAAUCUAAAUUUUAUUUGGAAAAGAAGUAGAAUGCAACAUUCAAAAAGUGACUUUUAGAUCAAGUCUGUAUAUCGGUCGAAAACCCAAUUUUAAAGUUAAAACGAUGCUAUAGCCAAGCCCAUAUCUCAAUCUCUCUGAAUAUAUAGCUGUCAAAGAUUGUUCUACAAAUUUGUGACAUUUUCUGUAUUUCUUUUUGUUAAGGCUUUAUCUGAAUAUUU
rnacentral:lncRNA from 1 species